rnacentral:tRNA from 1 species
GGUGGUGAAAUGGUAGACACGCGAGACUCAAAAUAUCGUGCUAAAGAAAAGAGCGUGGAGGUUCAAGUCCUCUUCAAGGCA